UAAUUAUCCAAAUUAGAUUUGGAUUUCAAGCUUGAUAGGAUUAGGUUUGACAGCCUUUCAAAUUCAACUCGAUUCGGACUCGAUUUGAAUCCGAUUGAGAUCCAAUUUGAACCAGAUGAACCACGACUCAUAGAGCCCUAAUUUCUUGGAACUCUCUCUAGAUCUCAUGCAAAGAAGGGGAGGGAGAACGUGAAGAUGCGCCCCCUUUUUAUUUUGCACGCGUGA
rnacentral:lncRNA from 1 species